CCUACGGGAGGCUGCAGUGGGGAAUAUUGGACAAUGGGGGGAACCCUGAUCCAGCCAUGCCGCGUGUGUGAAGAAGGCCCUCGGGUUGUAAAGCACUUUCAGUGAGGAAGAACGCCUGGUGGUUAAUACCCAUCAGGAAAGACAUCACUCACAGAAGAAGCACCGGCUAACUCCGUGCCAGCAGCCGCGGUAAUACGGAGGGUGCGAGCGUUAAUCGGAAUUACUGGGCGUAAAGCGCGCGUAGGUGGCUUGAUAAGCCGGUUGUGAAAGCCCCGGGCUCAACCUGGGAACGGCAUCCGGAACUGUCAAGCUAGAGCGCAGUAGAGGAGGGUAAAAUUCCCGGUGUAGCGGUGAAAUGCGUAGAGAGCGGGAGGAAUACAAGUGGCGAAGGCGGACGUCUGGACUGACACUGACACUGAGGUGCGAAAGCGUGGGUAGCAAACAGGAUUAGAUACCCCAGUAGUC
rnacentral:rRNA from 1 species